AGUAGCAAACUUGAUUCUGUGGCU
rnacentral:sRNA from 1 species